rnacentral:rRNA from 1 species
CCUACGGGUGGCAGCAGUGAGGAAUAUUGGUCAAUGGGCGCGAGCCUGAACCAGCCAAGUAGCGUGAAGGAUGACUGCCCUACGGGUUGUAAACUUCUUUUAUCAAGGAAUAAAGUGAGGCACGUGUGCCUUUUUGUAUGUACUUUAUGAAUAAGGAUCGGCUAACUCCGUGCCAGCAGCCGCGGUAAUACGGAGGAUCCGAGCGUUAUCCGGAUUUAUUGGGUUUAAAGGGUGCGUAGGUGGGUUGGUAAGUCAGUUGUGAAAGUUUGCGGCGCAACCGUAAAAGUUCAAUUGAUACUGGCGGUCUUGAGUACAGUUGAGGGAGGCGGAAUUCGUAGUGUAGCGGUGAAAUGCGUAGAUAUCACGAAGAACACCGAUUGCGAAGGCAGCUUACUAAACUGCCACUGACGUUGAUGCUCGAAAGUGUGGGUAUCAAACAGGAUUAGAUACCCUUGUAGUC